UCGGUGUAGGAUGAGACUAUAUAGUAUCAGCUAGUUGGUAAGGUAAUGGCUUACCAAGGCUAUGACGCUUAACUGGUCUGAGAGGAUGAUCAGUCACACUGGAACUGAGACACGGUCCAGACUCCUACGGGAGGCAGCAGUAGGGAAUAUUGCGCAAUGGGGGAAACCCUGACGCAGCAACGCCGCGUGGAGGAUGACACUUUUCGGAGCGUAAACUCCUUUUCUUAGGGAAGAAUUCUGACGGUACCUAAGGAAUAAGCACCGGCUAACUCCGUGCCAGCAGCCGCGGUAAUACGGAGGGUGCAAGCGUUACUCGGAAUCACUGGGCGUAAAGGGCGCGUAGGCGGAUUAUCAAGUCUCUUGUGAAAUCUAAUGGCUUAACCAUUAAACUGCUUGGGAAACUGAUAGUCUAGAGUGAGGGAGAGGCAGAUGGAAUUGGUGGUGUAGGGGUAAAAUCCGUAGAUAUCACCAAGAAUACCCAUUGCGAAGGCGAUCUGCUGGAACUCAACUGACGCUAAGGCGCGAAAGCGUGGGGAGCAAACAGGAUUAGAUACCCUGGUAGUCCACGCCCUAAACGAUGUACACUAGUUGUUGGGGUGCUAGUCAUCUCAGUAAUGCAGCUAACGCAUUAAGUGUACCGCCUGGGGAGUACGGUCGCAAGAUUAAAACUCAAAGGAAUAGACGGGGACCCGCACAAGCGGUGGAGCAUGUGGUUUAAUUCGAAGAUACGCGAAGAACCUUACCUGGGCUUGAUAUCCUAAGAACCUUUUAGAGAUAAGAGGGUGCUAGCUUGCUAGAACUUAGAGACAGGUGCUGCACGGCUGUCGUCAGCUCGUGUCGUGAGAUGUUGGGUUAAGUCCCGCAACGAGCGCAACCCACGUAUUUAGUUGCUAACGGUUCGGCCGAGCACUCUAAAUAGACUGCCUUCGUAAGGAGGAGGAAGGUGUGGACGACGUCAAGUCAUCAUGGCCCUUAUGCCCAGGGCGACACACGUGCUACAAUGGCAUAUACAAUGAGACGCAAUACCGCGAGGUGGAGCAAAUCUAUAAAAUAUGUCCCAGUUCGGAUUGUUCUCUGCAACUCGAGAGCAUGAAGCCGGAAUCGCUAGUAAUCGUAGAUCAGCCAUGCUACGGUGAAUACGUUCCCGGGUCUUGUACUCACCGCCCGUCACACCAUGGGAGUUGAUUUCACUCGAAGCCGGAAUACUAAACUAGUUACCGUCCACAGUGGAAUCAGCGACUGGGGUGAAGUCGUAACAAGGUAACCGUAGGAGAACCUGCGGUUGGAUCACCUCCUUUCUA
rnacentral:rRNA from 1 species